rnacentral:rRNA from 1 species
AACGAACGCUGGCGGCAUGCCUAACACAUGCAAGUCGAACGAGAUCUUCGGGUCUAGUGGCGCACGGGUGCGUAACGCGUGGGAAUCUGCCGUUUGGUUCGGAAUAACAGUUGGAAACGACUGCUAAUACCGGAUGAUGACGAAAGUCCAAAGAUUUAUCGCCAGAGGAUGAGCCCGCGUAGGAUUAGCUAGUUGGUGUGGUAAAGGCGCACCAAGGCGACGAUCCUUAGCUGGUCUGAGAGGAUGAUCAGCCACACUGGGACUGAGACACGGCCCAGACUCCUACGGGAGGCAGCAGUGGGGAAUAUUGGACAAUGGGCGAAAGCCUGAUCCAGCAAUGCCGCGUGAGUGAUGAAGGCCUUAGGGUUGUAAUGCUCUUUUACCCGGGAUGAUAAUGACAGUACCGGGAGAAUAAGCUCCGGCUAACUCCGUGCCAGCCGCCGCAGUAA